GAGUGAAGAAGGUUUUCGGAUCGUAAAACUCUGUUGUAAGGGAAGAACACGUACGAGAGUAACUGCUCGUACCUUGACGGUACCUUAUUAGAAAGCCACGGCUAACUACGUGCCAGCAGCCGCGGUAAUACGUAGGUGGCAAGCGUUGUCCGGAAUUAUUGGGCGUAAAGCGCGCGCAGGCGGUUCUUUAAGUCUGAUGUGAAAGCCCACGGCUCAACCGUGGAGGGUCAUUGGAAACUGGAGAACUUGAGUACAGAAGAGGAAAGCGGAAUUCCACGUGUAGCGGUGAAAUGCGUAGAGAUGUGGAGGAACACCAGUGGCGAAGGCGGCUUUCUGGUCUGUAACUGACGCUGAGGCGCGAAAGCGUGGGGAGCAAACAGGAUUAGAUACCCUGGUAGUCCACGCCGUAAA
rnacentral:rRNA from 2 species